UACGUAGGGUGCGAGCGUUGUCCGGAAUUAUUGGGCGUAAAGAGCUCGUAGGCGGUUUGUUGCGUCGGCUGUGAAAUCCCGAGGCUCAACCUCGGGUCUGCAGUCGAUACGAGCAAACUAGAGUGUUGCAGGGGAGACUGGAAUUCCUGGUGUAGCGGUGAAAUGCGCAGAUAUUGGGAGGAACACCAGUGGCGAAGGCGGCUCGCUGGACCGGUUCUGACGCUGAGGCGCGAAAGCGUGGGGAGCAAACAGG
rnacentral:rRNA from 1 species